rnacentral:rRNA from 1 species
GGGGGGGGGGGGCGGGGGGCGGGGGAGGGGCAGGGCGGGGGGGGGCGGCGGGGGAGCUUGCUUCCCCGGGCGUCGACCGGCGCACGGGGGAGUAACGCGUAUCCAACCUGCCUCUGACUGAGGGAUAACCCGUCGAAAGUCGGCCUAAUACCUCAUGGUAUCGUCUGCGGGCAUCCAACGACGAUUAAAGAUUUCAUCGGUCAGGGAUGGGGAUGCGUCUGAUUAGCUUGUUGGCGGGGUAACGGCCCACCAAGGCUACGAUCAGUAGGGGUUCUGAGAGGAAGGUCCCCCACAUUGGAACUGAGACACGGUCCAAACUCCUACGGGAGGCAGCAGUGAGGAAUAUUGGUCAAUGGGCGAGAGCCUGAACCAGCCAAGUAGCGUGCAGGAAGACGGCCCUAUGGGUUGUAAACUGCUUUUAUGCGGGGAUAAAGUGAGGGACGUGUCCCUCAUUGCAGGUACCGCAUGAAUAAGGACCGGCUAAUUCCGUG